rnacentral:rRNA from 1 species
GAUGAACGCUGGCGGCGUGCCUAAUACAUGCGAGUCGAGCGAACGGACGAGAAGCUUGCUUCUCUGAUGUUAGCGGCGGACGGGCGAGUAACACGUGGAUAACCUACCUAUAAGGCUGGGAUAACUUCGGGAAACCGGAGCUAAUACCGGAUAAUAUUUUGAACCGCAUGGUUCAAAAGUGAAAGACGGUCUUGCUGUCACUGAUAGAUGGAUCCGCGCUGCAUUAGCUAGUUGGUAAGGUAACGGCUUACCAAGGCAACGAUGCAUAGCCGACCUGAGAGGGUGAUCGGCCACACUGGAACUGAGACACGGUCCAGACUCCUACGGGAGGCAGCAGUAGGGAGUCUUCCGCAAUGGGCGAAAGCCUGACGGAGCAACGCCGCGUGAGUGAUGAAGGUCUUCGGAUCGUAAAACUCUGUUAUUAGGGAAGAACAUUUGUGUAAGUAACUGUGCACAUCUUGACGGUACCUAAUCAGAAAGCCACGGCUAACUACGUG